rnacentral:miRNA from 1 species
UGAGCAAACUUUCAGGUGUGU